rnacentral:rRNA from 1 species
CCUACGGGAGGCAGCAGUGGGGAAUAUUGCACAAUGGGCGAAACCCUGAUGCAGCAACGCCGCGUGUAGGAAGACGGUUUUCGGAUUGUAAACUACUGUUCUUAGUGAAGAAUAAUGAAGGUUGAUAAGGAGCAAGCCACGGCUAACUACGCGCAAGCAGCCGCGGUAAUACGUAGGCGGCAAGCGUUGUUCGGAAUGACUGGGUGUAAAGGGAGCGCAGGCGGGAAGCCAAGUCAGCUGUGAAAACUACGGGCUUAACUUGUGGACUGCAGUUGAUACUGGUUUUCUUGAGUGAAGUAGAGGUUGGCGGAAUUCCGGGUGUAGCGGUGAAAUGCGUAGAUAUUCGGAGGAACACCGGUGGCGAAGGCGGCCCACUGGGCUUUAACUGACGCUGAGGCUCGAAAGUGUGGGGAGCAAACAGGAUUAGAUACCCGAGUAGUC